rnacentral:tRNA from 1 species
GGUCCCAUGGCUUAGUGGUCAGGGUAUUGGACUCUGAAUCUAGCAACCCGAGUUUAAAUAUCGGUGGGACCU